UUGGAGGGCAAGUCUGGUGCCAGCAGCCGCGGUAAUUCCAGCUCCAAUAGCGUAUAUUAAAGUUGUUGCAGUUAAAAAGCUCGUAGUUGAAUUUUAGGCCUGACCGGGCGGUCCGUCUUUGGCGAGUACUGUCCUGUGUCGGGUCCACCUUCUGGUGAACCAGUAUGUCCUUUAUUGGGUGUGCCGGGGAGCCAGGACCAUUACCUUGAAAAAAUUAGAGUGUUUAAAGCAGGCAUUUGCUUGAAUAGAUUAGCAUGGAAUAAUAGAAUAGGACGUUGUGGUUCUAUUUUGUUGGUUUCUAGGACCACCGUAAUGAUUAAUAGGGAUAGUUGGGGGCAUUAGUAUUCAAUUGUCAGAGGUGAAAUUCUUGGAUUUAUUGAAGACUAACUAUUGCGAAAGCAUUUGCCAAGGAUGUUUUCAUUAAUCAAGAACGAAAGUUAGGGGAUCGAAGACGAUCAGAUACCGUCGUAGUCUUAACCAUAAACUAUGCCGACUAGGAAUCGGGCGACGUUAUUUUCAUGACUCGCUCGGCGCCUUAUGGGAAACCAAAGUGUUUGGGUUC
rnacentral:rRNA from 1 species